rnacentral:rRNA from 1 species
AGACCCGAAACCCGGUGAUCUAGCCAUGGGCAGGUUGAAGGUUGGGUAACACUAACUGGAGGACCGAACCGACUAAUGUUGAAAAAUUAGCGGAUGACCUGUGGCUGGGGGUGAAAGGCCAAUCAAACCGGGAGAUAGCUGGUUCUCCCCGAAAGCUAUUUAGGUAGCGCCUCGUGAAUUCAUCUCCGGGGGUAGAGCACUGUUUCGGCUAGGGGGCCAUCCCGGCUUACCAACCCGAUGCAAACUGCGAAUACCGGAGAAUGUUAUCACGGGAGACACACGGCGGGUGCUAACGUCCGUCGUGAAGAGGGAAACAACCCAGACCGCCAGCUAAGGUCCCAAAGUCAUGGUUAAGUGGGAAACGAUGUGGGAAGGCCCAGACAGCCAGGAUGUUGGCUUAGAAGCAGCCAUCAUUUAAAGAAAGCGUAAUAGCUCACUGGUCGAGUCGGCCUGCGCGGAAGAUGUAACGGGGCUAAACCAUGCACCGAAGCUGCGGCAGCGAACGUAUCACCCAAGACAACUUUACGGAGUUGACGAUUGACGGAGCGAAGCGACGUCAAAGCGUUCAUUAAAGUCGAGUUGGCUUAGGGAUACGUUCGUUGGGUAGGGGAGCGUUCUGUAAGCCUGUGAAGGUGUGUCGUGAGGCAUGCUGGAGGUAUCAGAAGUGCGAAUGCUGACAUAAGUAACGAUAAAGCGGGUGAAAAGCCCGCUCGCCGGAAGACCAAGGGUUCCUGUCCAACGUUAAUCGGGGCAGGGUGAGUCGACCCCUAAGGCGAGGCCGAAAGGCGUAGUCGAUGGGAAACGGGUUAAUAUUCCCGUACUUGGUGUUACUGCGAAGGGGGGACGGAGAAGGCUAUGUUGGCCGGGCGACGGUUGUCCCGGUUUAAGCGUGUAGGUGUGUGUUCCAGGUAAAUCCGGUUCACUUUAACACUGAGGCGUGAUGACGAGGCACUACGGUGCUGAAGCAACAAAUGCCCUGCUUCCAGGAAAAGCCUCUAAGCAUCAGGUAACAUCAAAUCGUACCCCAAACCGACACAGGUGGUCAGGUAGAGAAUACCAAGGCGCUUGAGAGAACUCGGGUGAAGGAACUAGGCAAAAUGGUGCCGUAACUUCGGGAGAAGGCACGCUGACACGUAGGUGAAGUGAUUUACUCACGGAGCUGAAGUCAGUCGAAGAUACCAGCUGGCUGCAACUGUUUAUUAAAAACACAGCACUGUGCAAACACGAAAGUGGACGUAUACGGUGUGACGCCUGCCCGGUGCCGGAAGGUUAAUUGAUGGGGUCAGCGCAAGCGAAGCUCCUGAUCGAAGCCCCGGUAAACGGCGGCCGU